GCGGACGUGGCGAAACUGGUAGACGCAAGGGACUUAAAAUCCCUCGGGCAUGCCCGUGCGGGUUCGACCCCCGCCGUCCGCACCA
rnacentral:tRNA from 2 species